rnacentral:sRNA from 1 species
GGUCCGCUCUUGCUGAGCCCAGAGCCAUCCCGCGCUCUGCGGGCUAGGAGGCCCGGGCCAGGACGCGAGUCCUGCGCAGCCGAGGUUCCCCAGCGCCCCCUGCAGCCGCGCGUAGGCAGAGACGGAGCCCGGCCCUGCGCCUCCGCACCACGCCCGGGACCCCACCCAGCGGCCCGUACCCGGAGAAGCAGCGCGAGCACUCGAAGCUCCCGGCUGGCGGCAGAAACCGGGAGUGGGGCCGGGCGAGUGCGCGGCAUCCCAGGCCGGCCCGAACGCUCCGCCCGCGGUGGGCCGACUUCCCCUCCUCUUCCCUCUCUCCUUCCUUUAGCCCGCUGGCGCCGGACACGCUGCGCCUCAUCUCUUGGGGCGUUCUUCCCCGUUGGCCAACCGUCGCAUCCCGUGCACCUUUGGGGUAGUGGCCGUUUAGUGUUGAAUGUUCGCCACCGAGAGCGCAUGGCUUGGGAAGCGAGGCGCGAACCCGGCCCCCGAAGGGCCGCCGUCCGGGAGACGGUGAUGCUGUUGCUGUGCCUGGGGGUCCCGACCGGCCGCCCCUACAACGUGGACACUGAGAGCGCGCUGCUUUACCAGGGCCCCCCCAACACGCUGUUCGGCUACUCGGUCGUGCUGCACAGCCACGGGGCGAACCGAUGGCUCCUAGUGGGUGCGCCCACUGCCAACUGGCUCGCCAACGCUUCAGUGAUCAAUCCCGGGGCGAUUUACAGAUGCAGGAUCGGAAAGAAUCCCGGCCAGACGUGCGAACAGCUCCAGCUGGGUGAGUUGGGUAUGGGACCAGGAGUUAGUGACCUCCCGACCCCCCCAUGUGGACCCCACCAUAGGGCAAGUCCUGGAAAGAUUCACGUUGCCUGUUACUUCUGGUUUAAAGAGCAUAAAGUUUUCAGUUUCAACUCCAUCUCAUCUUGCCUCCUUAAUAUAAAAGGGAUUCCCUUUCUGUUAAUAUCGUUCUCCCUUUUCCUUAUAGCAAUGACUGCAGUACUCUGACAACUAUGCUAGAGAAAUUUCUUAUGAUACCUUCUCUUCAUCUCUCCCCCUGUCUCUCCGUGUGUAAAGCACAUUUUAGACUCUCAGCGUAUUAAGGACAGGAUCCAGCUAAGCCAAGACUUGAGAAUUUUAUUUCCAUCUUUGACCUAUCAACCCUCUUAAAGAACAGGCUAAGGAGCAUAUCAGGAAUAGCAAUUGGAAUUGAUCCCAUAUCCCGUCGUUUAACCUAAAGGCCUAAAAAAAAAAGUGAUAGUUUUACUUAGAAUAUACAAUCUAAAAGAAAAGGAAAAUUGGCAUCUUCAUCGUUAAUGUAGUAUAAUUUUCCAUUCCCAAAACCGUCAUCCAAAACUCAUGUUAUAUGGGUCCAUCUUUUUGCAGUCAUUUCUCAAUGUCUCAGAUUUGUGACAAGUUGAAAAAUGUGUACUGAUAGAGGGGAGAAGUUUCAUGUUUCAAAGCCAAAGACAAGUUUCUUGCACACAGACAAGUGGGGAAAGAGGAAGGAAUAUUAAAUAACAAGACCUAUCUUGUUCCAAAGUGUUACUGCUAUAUAUAUUGCUUAACUUUUUUCCCCUUAAAGCAACCCUGGGUCAUGGUUGACAUUGUUCCUAGUUUAUGUAUGAGGACUGUGGCUCAGAGUUGCAGAUACCUUUUUAAAAGUUACUUAGCUAGUGACUGAUAGGUGGGAACUAAAGUCAAACUAGGGUCUGAAUGCGUCCAAAGUCUAAGCCAUUUUCUUCCAUGUAUGUAUCUUCAAUGCAAAUAAAAUUAAGUGAAUGGUUUAAUAUGUUGUCUGCUGAGCUGAUGGGUCAUCUGUAAACGGUGAAUAAAAUUGGUACUUCUUUAUAUUU